AAUUAUUAGAUUAACUAAGAUUCCUUAGUAAUGGCGAAUGAACCGGGAAAAGCUCAAAUUUAAAAUCAUUUAACAAAAUGAAUUGUAGUUUAAAAAUGUUUAAUUAAAAAUUUUAAAUUUAUUAAUUUAAUUGGAAAAUUAAAACAAAGAGGGUUAUAUUCCCGUAUAUAUAAAUSUAUAAAAUUUAAUAAUUAUUCAUUAAAGAGUCAGAUUGUUUGGGAUUACAGUCUAAAUUAGGAGGUAAAUUUCUUUUAAAGCUAAAUAUUGGCAAGAGACCGAUAGCGAACAAGUACCGUAAGGGAAAGAUGAAAUAGAACCUUGUAAAGGGGUUUAAACAGAAAGUGAAAUCGUUAAGAGGGAAACAUUUAAAACUCGAAAUAAAAUUUUAAAUUAUUAUAAUUUAUAAUAAAAUUUAAAAUUUUUAAAUCUCAAUAAUUAUUAAAUUUGUUUAAAAAUUAAUAUUAUAACAAGGUUUCAAUCAAAGUAUUUAAACUUAAAAAUAAUAUUUUAUUAAACGAAAUUGAUAAUAAUAAAUCAUUUAUUACAUUUUCAUAUUWUUAUUAUUAAUUAAUAAUCUUUUUAAGAUUAAUAAUUAAAUAAUUUAAAUACAAAUGAUAUGAUAUUUAUAUUGAUAAUAGAGUUUUAAAUGACCCGUCUUGAAACACGGACCAAGGAGUCUAACAUAUCGGCGAGUACUAUAAUUAAAAAAUUAUAAUGCGUAAUGAAAGUAAAUUCAAGGUAGGAAUUUUUAAUUAAAUGCACUAUCGACCGAUUUCAUUAGGAUUCUUCCUAGAAAUUUGAGUUAGAGCAGACAUGUUGGGACCCGAAAGAUGGUGAACUAUGCUUGAAUAGGGUGAAGCCAGAGGAAACUCUGGUGGAAGCUCGUAGCGAUUCUGACGUGCAAAUCGAUCGUAAAAUUUGGGUAUAGGGCGAAAGACUAAUCGAUCCAUCCAGGCGU
rnacentral:rRNA from 2 species